rnacentral:rRNA from 1 species
CCUGGCUCAGGAUAAACGCUGGCGGCGUGCCUAAUACAUGCAAGUCGAUCGCUGGAGCUCAAGCUUGCUUGAGUGAAGGAGAGGCGAACGGGUGAGUAAUACAUAAGCAACCUGCCCACGAAGACUGGGAUAAUUCCUGGAAACGGGGACUAAUACCGGAUAGGCAGCGUGAUCGCAUGAUCGUGCUGUUAAAGAUUCAAAGCACUGGUGGAUGGGCUUAUGGCGCAUUAGCUGGUUGGUGAGGUAACGGCCCACCAAGGCGAUGAUGCGUAGCCGGCCUGAGAGGGUGAACGGCCACAUUGGGACUGAGACACGGCCCAGACUCCUACGGGAGGCAGCAGUAGGGAAUUUUCGGCAAUGGGCGCAAGCCUGACCGAGCAACGCCGCGUGAGUGAAGACGGCCUUCGGGUUGUAAGGCUCUGUUGUAAGGGAAGAACACACGUGAGAGAAUCAUGUGCUGACGGUACCUUACCAGAAAGCCACGGCUAACUACGUGCCAGCCGCCGC